UACGGAGGGUGCAAGCGUUUAUCCGGAUUCACUGGGUUUAAAGGGUGCGUAGGUGGGCAGGUAAGUCAGUGGUGAAAUCUCCGAGCUUAACUCGGAAACUGCCGUUGAUACUAUUUGUCUUGAAUAUUGUGGAGGUAAGCGGAAUAUGUCAUGUAGCGGUGAAAUGCUUAGAUAUGACAUAGAACACCAAUUGCGAAGGCAGCUUCUACACAACGAUUGACGCUGAGGCACGAAAGCGUGGGGAUCAAACAGG
rnacentral:rRNA from 1 species